rnacentral:rRNA from 1 species
AGUGAACGCUGGCGGUAGGCCUAACACAUGCAAGUCGAACGGCAGCACAGGAGAGCUUGCUCUCUGGGUGGCGAGUGGCGGACGGGUGAGGAAUACAUCGGAAUCUACUUUGUCGUGGGGGAUAACGUAGGGAAACUUACGCUAAUACCGCAUACGACCUACGGGUGAAAGCAGGGGAUCUUCGGACCUUGCGCGAUUGAAUGAGCCGAUGUCGGAUUAGCUAGUUGGCGGGGUAAAGGCCCACCAAGGCGACGAUCCGUAGCUGGUCUGAGAGGAUGAUCAGCCACACUGGAACUGAGACACGGUCCAGACUCCUACGGGAGGCAGCAGUGGGGAAUAUUGGACAAUGGAGCAAGCCUGAUCCAGCCAUACCGCGUGGGUGAAGAAGGCCUUCGGGUUGUAAAGCCCUUUUGUUGGGAAAGAAAUCCAGCCGGCUAAUACCUGGUUGGGAUGACGGUACCCAAAGAAUAAGCACCGGCUAACCUCGCGCCAGCAGCCGCGGUAAUACGAAGGGUGUAAGCGUUACUCGGAAUUACUGGGCGUAAAGCGUGCGUAGGUGGUUAUUUAAUUCCGUUGUGAAAGCCCCUGGGC